AAUGCAUAGAAGUUUCUAUGUAACCGAUUUAUAAAGGUAUCAUAUUUAUAUAUUUUAAUACAUUUACCACAUAGUCAAAGUCAUAGUUUUAAAAAAGUGUCGGCAAAGAUUAAAUAUAUAAAAUGAAAAAAGAAAACCUUAUCUUCGAAUGAAAGGCUGUAAACUCUUCUGCUUGAACACUCAUCCAAUUCUAUUCCAUAGCUUUCUCUCUCUCACUCAAUUUCUCUCUCUCUCUCUCCUCAAAAAAAUUCUCUCUUUCUCUCUCUAAGUUAUCGGCACAAAGAAUGGAAGAACCUCUUGCUGCCGCCGUCCUUCAAGCUCCAAUUGAAAACCUCAUCGACUUUCUGAAGAAUGAGAUCUCUCAAAUCCAAGGUGUCGACGAAGAAGCAGCAAAGCUAGCUGGGACUCUCGAAAUCAUCCAGAAAUUCUUGAACCACGCGGAGUCGGGCACCAUCACCGGCGAAGAUGUCAAGAGCUGGCUGAGGAAGCUUGAAGACGUGGCGUUCGAUGCUGACAAUGUUUUGGAUAAGUUCAACUAUCAUCGCCUCUCCGAACAAAUCAAGCCCAAGAAGGCAAAGGUACUAUCAUUCUUCAAGCAUAUUCCACGUUCUCGAAAGAUGGCUCUUAAAAUUAAAAAAAUACGUGAGAAUUUGGAGUGCAUUAACAAAGAUGCAGCUGUUCUUGGCCUCAAAGAGAGGCUUGCUGCCGCUGUGCCCACUUUACAUGAUGCUGAUGCUUCGGAAACUGAUUCAUACGCUCUUGAUCCUAUUUUUAUUGGAAGAGAUGAUGUUGUGUCGGAAAUAGUUGAGAUGCUUACCAAUAGCAUCACAACUGAUGAACGCAGAGUUUCCAUUUCCAUUGUGGGGAUGGGAGGAUUGGGGAAGACGGCAUUGACUAGGAAAGUCUUCAAUCAUGAAAUGGUGAAGACUCGGUUUGCAUCGCAUAUUUGGGUGCAUGUUUCUCCAAAUUUCGAACCGAUCACUCUUUUAAAGAAAAUUCUCAAUAACUUGGCUUCUCAUCAUCAAGUUGAAAAUGCGAGUAGACAAGUUGUUCUUACAAAGCUUCAAGAAGCUUUGAAAGAUAAAACGUAUCUUCUUGUUCUAGAUGAUGCAUGGAAUGAAGAUCUUUUCAAAUGGAACGAUUUUAUGAAUUCCUUCUUGGGAGUUGGUUGUGUCAAGGGAAAUGCCAUUGUUGUUACCACCAGAAGUAAGAAGGUUGCUUCAAUUGUGAAUCCACUUCAUACACAUGAGUUGGAAGGCUUAUCAGAGGAAGAAUGUUGGUCGAUAAUCAAAGUUAAAACCUUUGGAGAAGGAAACGUUCCAUCAGAUUUUGAGACUAUUGGGAAAAAGAUUGCAACCAAAUGUCAAGGUUUGCCACUAGCUGCCAAUGUAGUUGGGGGAACACUGAGCAAUCAAUCCGAGGAAAAAUGGCGUUCAAUCGAGGAGAAAUGGCUUUCUUCAGAUGAAGGAGGAGAUUAUAUCACAAACAUAUUAAGAUUGAGCUUUGAUAAUUUGUCUCUGCCACCACUUAAGAAAUGCUUUGCGUACUGUUCGAUGUUUCCUAAGGGCUACGAAAUCAUGAAACAGGAACUGAUUGAGUUUUGGAUGGCAGAAGGUUUUCUUCAAGCUGAUGGAAGGGAUGACAUGGAGUCUGUGGGCGAAAACUUUAUCAACGUUCUUCUGCACAACUCUUUACUGCAAGUUUUAUGGAGAGAUGAGUACGGAGAUGUAGAAAGUUGUAGCAUGCACGAUCUUGUGCACGAUCUCGCUUCUUCUGUUUCAAGUUCCUCUAACAAUACAGGUGGUAGCAGCCAAGUUCGAUACAUGAUUCUCGAAGAAGAAGAAUCAAGUCCAAUCUCAAAAGAAAUGGCAAAAUAUUUGCGUACAUUAUUAAUAUCAUAUGGAUGUGAUAGUUCUGGUAUCAACUUCUCAGACUUGGAAAGUCUGCAUGUUUUACGUCUUCAAGGUUAUGGAGUUGACGAGUUGUCAAGUUCGAUUCGAAAGUUGAUACAUUUGAGAUAUUUUGACAUUUCAUGUACAAUGAUUGAAUAUUUGCCGGAUUGGAUUGGUGAAUUCUUUCACUUGCAGACGUUGAGAGUAGUCUCAGAAUAUUUGAAGAAACUGCCAAGUACGAUUAAGUACUUGAUUAACUUGAGGCAUCUUUAUAUUACUGGGAAGGUAGAGUUGCCUGCGGGAAUCGGGCGAUUAACUUCUCUCCAAACGCUGAAGUACUUUCCAGUGGGCGAUGAGAAUGGGUGCAAAAUUGAAGAGCUGGGAAGUUUGAAUAAUCUUAAAGGAGAGCUAAGGAUUAGGAAUCUGGAAAGGGUUGAUGACAAGGAAGAGGCUGAGAAGGCCAAUUUAUUCAAAAAGUCAAAAAUAUUGGAUUUGCAUUUGGAAUGGAAUGAUCGCAGAGAAGGUGAAACAAAUGAUGAGAAUGUAUUGGAAGGCAUGCGUCCACACUCAGAUCUGAGGGGGUUGCAUAUUGGCGGAUUCAAAGGCAAAAGAUUUCCAUUAUGGACUCAGAAGAUGUCAGAUUUGAACAAGUUAAUAUCAUUAACACUCGUUAACUGCAAGGAAUGUGAAGAGAUCCCAAUGUUGGGGCACUUGCCCAAUCUCAAGUCCCUUGAGUUGGAAGGAUGGGACAAUUUGAAGUGUAUAAAUUCAUCAUUCUACGGAAUGGUGAACAACGACACACACAUUAUUUUUCCAGCUCUCGAAAAGCUCAAAUUGCAUCGCAUGCCUAAGCUGACAGAGUGGGCAGAAAUAGAAGUUUUGGGUGCAAGUGGAGUGAAGCUAUUUCCUUGCCUCCAACAUUUGGAAAUCUAUGAUUGCGAGCAAUUGAUGAGUGUUCCAAGUCAUGUCUCGUCAUGCCUUCAACAUUUGAAAAUUGAGGGAAUUGGUGUGGAAUGUCUCCCAGCUAAUUGGUUAUUCACUAACUACCAGACUCUCUCUGAAUUGUAUAUAAGGCGGUGCCCCAAUUUGAGAGAAUUAGGGGAUAGAGAUAGCGGCGGAGAACAAUCCCAACGAAACUUCACAUCCCUUCGCCGUCUCAGGAUUGAGGAAUGCCAACAAUUGGAGUAUUUGCCAUGUGAAAUGCUAGGAUUCUCUCUUGAGGGUCUCUACUUGGACAGUUUAAGUAGCCUAAAGAAUCUAGGAAGGGUAAUUGACUGCCUCUCAAGAUUGCCUCGUCUAACAGAUUUGGAUAUUAGAGGCGUUCCUAAAUUUAUGGCCACUGGUUGUCUUAAGAUUUCGCCUAUUCCCAGCUUGAGACAGGUGCGUAUCGAUGUUAGUAUGGGGGUGGAGACUGUGGAUGCCAUAUUGCAAGCAUGUUGCCAGUCACUAAAAAGCUUAACUCUGGAGGGGAUGGAAAGUUGGGAAUGCCUACCGGAAUCAAUUCAACUUCUCACUGCUCUUUCUCAGUUAUGGUUAUUUAAUUUUGGAAUGGAAGAGUUACCUGAAUGGUUUGGGAGCCUCUCUUCUCUAAGUUUGUUGGUUUUAGAAAACUGCAAAAGGCUAAGGCGUCUACCCUCUAUGGAUGCAAUGCAUCGCCUCACAACAUUAAAACAACUAAAGAUUUGGGAUUGCCCGGAAUUAGUGAUUAAAAGGGAGGCAGCUGAUUCUGAAUGGCCCAAGCUUUCCCAUAUCCCCAAGGUUUCCUUGUAUUGACGGUCACAGUGUCGGUGAUGGUGAGUAUCAAUAUAUGUGUUUGUUUGUUCUAAUAGAAACAAUUAGAUGUGUAUUUUAUUUCAAAAAAAAUAAAAAUCUAAUCAUAAGAAAUUGAGGUAGUCUAGUAAAAUCUAUCAUCUUAUCUUAUGGAGUUUCCAAUUCAGUUGUUAUUUGUUUGGCGCUCCACUUCAUCUCAAUAUGCUUAAACCAUAGGAGAUUAAUUAAUUUGAGUUUGUAUACUACACUUUUACAUGGAGCCGUCAUUUUAUCUUUUUUCUAUUAAUUCUUUUUGGUGUUGAUACAGAUGAUUCUGAAUCUGAAUGAAGUGAAACGAGGAAACAGUUGUGUUUGAGGUGUCUCUGCAUAAUUAAAAGGAUUAUUAUAUUGAAGUUGAAGAGGGAUGCAUGUGGAUAUCAAUUUGUUUUGGACAAAUAGAUCAAUCUCCACCUCUACUCAUGUUUUUACAUUUCUUUACAUGUGGUUUUAUGCUAUGUCUUCCUCUACCUUUUGGCUGAGACUGUAAAUUGCAAGAUAAUUUUCUCAUUCUAGUUUAACUUGAAAUAAAUUUUCAUUUGCAUGGACUA